CUGGCGGCGUGCUUAACACAUGCAAGUCGAACGAACCUUCGGGUUAGUGGCGGACGGGUGAGUAACGCGUGAGAAUCUGCCCUCAGGAGGGGGAUAACGGUUGGAAACGACCGCUAAUACCCCAUAUGCCUAUUGGUGAAAUGAACUUCGCCUGAGGAUGAGCUCGCGUCUGAUUAGCUAGUUGGUGAGGUAAUGGCUCACCAAGGCUUCGAUCAGUAGCUGGUCUGAGAGGAUGAUCAGCCACACUGGGACUGAGACACGGCCCAGACUCCUACGGGAGGCAGCAGUGGGGAAUUUUCCGCAAUGGGCGAAAGCCUGACGGAGCAACGCCGCGUGAGGGACGAAGGCCUCUGGGCUGUAAACCUCUUUUCUCAAGGAAGAAGAUAUGACGGUACUUGAGGAAUAAGCCACGGCUAAUUCCGUGCC
rnacentral:rRNA from 1 species